CGGACUUUUGUUAACAUAACACGACUUUAAGGUUGGACGAAACAUCCCUAAUAUCUAUGAGAGACACGAGUAAAGCUGAAGUCUAACUACAAAGAAAGUUUUGCCGGCUGAUGUGACCAGUGUUGACGUCUGUCCUUGUUUUCAGUUCACC